ACGGGAAUAACUCCGGGAAACUGGAGCUAAUACCCAAUGGGCGGGAACGCCUGGAAUGGUCUCCCGCUGAAAUGGCGUUGAAAACAUGCUUUCAACGUUGCCCAAGGAUGAGACCGCGGCCGAUCAGGUUGUUGGUGAGGUAACGGCUCACCAAGCCGAUAACCGGUACGGGCCCUGAGAGGGGGAGCCCGGAGAUGGAACCUGAGACAAGGUUCCAGGUCCUACGGGACGCAGCAGGCGCGAAACCUCCACAAUGCACGAAAGUGCGAUGGGGUUAUCCCGAGUGCCGUCUGAUGAAGAUGGCUUUUCACUGGUGUAAUGAGCCAGUGGAAGAAGGGGAGGGCAAGACUGGUGUCAGCCGCCGCGGUAAUACCAGCUCCCCGAGUGGUGGGGACGAUUACUGGGCCUAAAGCGUUCGUAGCCGGCUUAACAAGUCUUCCGUUAAAUCUGGCGACCCAAUCGUCAGGCUGCGGGGGAUACUAUUAGGCUAGGGGGCGGGAGAGGUCGACGGUAUUCUCGGGGUAGGGGUGAAAUCCUAAGAUCCUGAGAGGACCACCAGUGGCGAAGGCGGUCGACCAGAACGCGCCCGACGGUGAGGGACGAAAGCUGGGGUAGCGAACCGGAUUAGAUACCCGGGUAGUCCCAGCCGUAAACGAUGCAGGCUAGGUGUUGGAGCGGCUACGAGCCGCUUCAGUGCCGCAGGGAAGCUAUUAAGCCUGCCGCCUGGGGAGUACGGUCG
rnacentral:rRNA from 1 species